rnacentral:rRNA from 1 species
AUUGAACGCUGGCGGCAUGCUUUACACAUGCAAGUCGAACGGCAGCGCGGGCUUCGGCCUGGCGGCGAGUGGCGAACGGGUGAGUAAUGCAUCGGAACGUGCCCAGUAGUGGGGGAUAGCCCGGCGAAAGCGGGAUUAAUACCGCAUACGACCUGAGGGUGAAAGCGGGGGACCGAAAGGCCUCGCGCUAUUGGAGCGGCCGAUGUCGGAUUAGCUAGUUGGUGGGGUAAAGGCUUACCAAGGCGACGAUCCGUAGCUGGUCUGAGAGGACGACCAGCCACACUGGGACUGAGACACGGCCCAGACUCCUACGGGAGGCAGCAGUGGGGAAUUUUGGACAAUGGGGGCAACCCUGAUCCAGCCAUGCCGCGUGCGGGAAGAAGGCCUUCGGGUUGUAAACCGCUUUUGUUCGGGAAGAAAUCCUCUGGGCUAAUACCCCGGGGGGAUGACGGUACCGGAAGAAUAAGCACCGGCUAACUACGUG